AGUUUCCAGGACUGAGCGCCAAUCCAGAAGUCCUCAAGUCAGAAACCCACAAGCUUCCAGGACUGAGCGCCAAUCCAGAAGUCCUCAAGUCAGAAACCCACAAGCUUCCAGGACUGAGCGCCAAUCCAGAAGUCCUCAAGUCAGAAACGCCCAAG